rnacentral:ncRNA from 18 species
AUCGUAGCAUGAUAAUUCGGUUUCUUCAUAAGAAUGAAAAGGGAAUCCGGUGAAAUUCCGGAACUGGCGCGCAGCGGUAAUGGUAAAAGCAACACGAUGACACUGUUAUAAAUGACGGGAAGUCGUUGCGGGGAAUAACGUAGUACCCUCCUGAGUCCGAAGACCUGCCGAAGAUUUGUCGUCCGUC